UCCACACAUACACACCUCCACACAGCAUCCACACUUUCACACAGCAUCCACACCUGACACCUCCACACCUCCACACAUACACACCUCCACACAGCAUCCACAGCUCCACACAGCAUCCACACCUCCACACAGCAUCCACACAGCAUCCACACAGCAUCCACAUAGCAUCCACACCUCCACACAGCAUCCAUACCUACUCACCUCCACACAGCAUCCUCACUUACUCACAUCCACACAUCAUCCACAUAGCAUCCACACCGCAUCCACACCUCCACACAGCAUCCACACCUCCACACACACACACAGCCCUGCCUCUACACACACAGCCCCGCCUCCACACACACACACAGCCCAACCUCCACACACGCACACACAGCCCAACCUCCACACAUACACACAGCCCUGCCUCCGCAAACACACGCAGCCCCGCCUCCACACACACACAGCUCCGCCUCCACACACAGAGACACACACACAGAGCCCUACCUCCCCACACAAACACACACAGCCGCACCUCCACACACACACACAGCCCCGCCUCCACACACACACAGCCCUACCUCCCCACACAUAUACACACAGCCCUACCUCCCCACACAUAUACACACAGCCCUACCUCCCCACACACACACACACACAGCCCCACCUCCACAAACACACAGCCCCGCCUCCACACACACAGCCCUGCCGCCACACACACACACACACAGAGCCCUGCUGCCCCAGCCACACACACAGCCCCGCCUCCACACACAGCCCCACCUCCACACACACACACACACACAGCCCCGCUGCCACACACACGUGCACACAGAGCCCCGCCGCCACACACACACAUAUGCUCACGCACACACACAGCCCCACCACACACACAUGCGCAUGCACACACACACACACAGCCCCGCCGCCACACACACAGCCCCACUGCCACAUACACACACACACACACACACACACACACACACACACACACACACACCCCUACCUUGCUGCCAGGGCUCUUGCAAAGACAGGCUUCACCAACCACCAGCCCACAGUUGGCCCGUCCCCAGGGGCUGCACACUAGCCUUAUGGAAAGUUCCUCGAGUUCCCUGUGCGUCAGCUUCUGCCUGUAAAACAGAGAGAGUGCAAACCUACCCACCUUGCCAGCGGCCCUGAGCCCAAAUUUUAAGCCCCAAGCACACAGCCCGGCCAAGGGUCGCUGCUCUGGAAAUGCUGGUUUCCCUGCGC
rnacentral:lncRNA from 1 species